AAAUAACGAUAAUAGUCUCCUUUCCUGUCCCAAAAAGAAAACAAAAGGAUUUCACAAAUGCAUCAGAAGGGAAUAGUGUAAUAUUGAAAAUUACAAAAUUAGAAAUAUACAUCUACAUGCAGAUUCUGUUCCAGUAGACAGACUAGAAAGAAUAAAAUGCAGUCCAUAACCAAAUGUAUGACAACAAACUCAAAUAAAAAGCAGUGUGAAUUAAAAGAUCCCAAAUAUAAUUUUUAGACCAAAAUCCCCUUCAU
rnacentral:misc_RNA from 1 species